rnacentral:rRNA from 1 species
AGGAUGAACGCUGGCGGCGUGCCUAACACAUGCAAGUCGAACGUCCUGUCUCGCAAGAGGCAGGGAGUGGCGGACGGGUGAGUACCACGUGGGUCAUCUACCGUGAGGUGAGGAAUACCGGCGAGAAAUCGCCGACAAGACCGCAUAGCCUCGGUGCAAGUCGAGGAAAGCUCUCUCGAGAGAGGGAGCGCCACACGAGGAGCCUGCGCCCGAUUAGCUAGCUGGUGGAGUAACGGUUCACCAGGGCGACGAUCGGUAGCUGGUCUGAGAGGACGAUCAGCCACACUGGGAUUGAGAACGGCCCAGACUCCUACGGGGGGCAGCAGUGAGGAAUUUUCGUCAAUGGGGGCAACCCUGAACGAGCAACGCCGCGUGCAGGAAGAAGGUUUUCGGAUCGUAAACUGCUUUUCGUCGGGGAAGAGAACGGACGGUACCCGAGGAAUCGAGCCCCGGCUAACUACGUGCCAGCAGCCGC